CUGGCGAAAGUUGGUUUUCUUUCGGGACACUCUUCAAGGGUGCUGCAUGGUUGUCGUCAGGCUCGUGCCGUUGAGGUGUCGGGUUAAGUCCCAUAACGAGCGCAACCCUUACUGUUAGUUGCCAGCGGGUCAAGCCGGGAACUCUAACGGGACUGCACCGUAAGGUGAGAGGAAGGUGGGGAUGACGUCAAAUCAGCACGGCCCUUAUGUCCAGGGCUACACACGUGUUACAAUGGUCGGUACAAAGGGCAGCUACACCGCGAGGUGAUGCUAAUCUCUAAAGCCGGUCUCAGUUCGGAUCGAAGUCUGCAACCCGACUUUGUGAAGUUGGAUUCGCUAGUAAUCGCGCAUCAGCCAUGGCCGCGGUCGAAUACGUUCCCGGGCCUU
rnacentral:rRNA from 1 species